rnacentral:rRNA from 1 species
UUUCGCAAUGCCCGAAAGGGUGACGAAGCGACGCCGCGUGGGUGAGGAAGGCCCUCGGGUUGUAAAGCCCUGUCGGGAGUUAAGAAAUGUAGAUUCGCUAAUAUCGGGUCUAUUUGACGAAGGCUCCAAAGGAAGCCACGGCUAACUCUGUGCCAGCAGCCGCGGUAAUACAGAGGUGGCAAGCGUUGUCCGGAAUUAUUGGGCGUAAAGAGCACGUAGGUGGAUUUGUAAGUCAGAUGUGAAAGCCUUCUGUUCAACGGGGGAAUUGCAUCUGAAACUACAGACCUUGAGUAUAGGAGGGGAGAAUGGAACUUCUGGUGGAGCGGUGAAAUGUGUAGAUAUCAGAAGGAACGCCGGCGGCGAAAGCGAUUCUCUGGCCUAUUACUGACACUCAGUGUGCGAAAGCUAGGGGAGCAAACGGGAUUAGAUACCCCGGUAGUCCUAGCCGUAAACGAUGGGCACUAAGUAGAGGGUUUUA